rnacentral:rRNA from 1 species
ACUUAAAUUGAAGAGUUUGAUCAUGGCUCAGAUUGAACGCUGGCGGCAGGCCUAACACAUGCAAGUCGAGCGGUAGCACAGAGAGCUUGCUCUCGGGUGACGAGCGGCGGACGGGUGAGUAAUGUCUGGGAAACUGCCUGAUGGAGGGGGAUAACUACUGGAAACGGUAGCUAAUACCGCAUAAUGUCGCAAGACCAAAGUGGGGGACCUUCGGGCCUCAUGCCAUCAGAUGUGCCCAGAUGGGAUUAGCUAGUAGGUGGGGUAACGGCUCACCUAGGCGACGAUCCCUAGCUGGUCUGAGAGGAUGACCAGCCACACUGGAACUGAGACACGGUCCAGACUCCUACGGGAGGCAGCAGUGGGGAAUAUUGCACAAUGGGCGCAAGCCUGAUGCAGCCAUGCCGCGUGUGUGAAGAAGGCCUUCGGGUUGUAAAGCACUUUCAGCGGGGAGGAAGGCGUUAAGGUUAAUAACCUUGGCGAUUGACGUUACCCGCAGAAGAAGCACCGGCUAACUCCGUGCCAGCAGCCGCGGUAAUACGGAGGGUGCAAGCGUUAAUCGGAAUUACUGGGCGUAAAGCGCACGCAGGCGGUCUGUCAAGUCGGAUGUGAAAUCCCCGGGCUUAACCUGGGAACUGCAUUCGAAACUGGCAGGCUAGAGUCUUGUAGAGGGGGGUAGAAUUCCAGGUGUAGCGGUGAAAUGCGUAGAGAUCUGGAGGAAUACCGGUGGCGAAGGCGGCCCCCUGGACAAAGACUGACGCUCAGGUGCGAAAGCGUGGGGAGCAAACAGGAUUAGAUACCCUGGUAGUCCACGCCGUAAACGAUGUCGAUUUGGAGGUUGUGCCCUUGAGGCGUGGCUUCCGGAGCUAACGCGUUAAAUCGACCGCCUGGGGAGUACGGCCGCAAGGUUAAAACUCAAAUGAAUUGACGGGGGCCCGCACAAGCGGUGGAGCAUGUGGUUUAAUUCGAUGCAACGCGAAGAACCUUACCUGGUCUUGACAUCCACAGAACUUAGCAGAGAUGCUUUGGUGCCUUCGGGAACUGUGAGACAGGUGCUGCAUGGCUGUCGUCAGCUCGUGUUGUGAAAUGUUGGGUUAAGUCCCGCAACGAGCGCAACCCUUAUCCUUUGUUGCCAGCGGUCCGGCCGGGAACUCAAAGGAGACUGCCAGUGAUAAACUGGAGGAAGGUGGGGAUGACGUCAAGUCAUCAUGGCCCUUACGACCAGGGCUACACACGUGCUACAAUGGCAUAUACAAAGAGAAGCGACCUCGCGAGAGCAAGCGGACCUCAUAAAGUAUGUCGUAGUCCGGAUUGGAGUCUGCAACUCGACUCCAUGAAGUCGGAAUCGCUAGUAAUCGUAGAUCAGAAUGCUACGGUGAAUACGUUCCCGGGCCUUGUACACACCGCCCGUCACACCAUGGGAGUGGGUUGCAAAAGAAGUAGGUAGCUUAACCUUCGGGAGGGCGCUUACCACUUUGUGAUUCAUGACUGGGGUGAAGUCGUAACAAGGUAACCGUAGGGGAACCUGCGGUUGGAUCACCUCCUUACCUUAAAGAA